GGGGUAAUGGCGCAGCUGGGAGUCGUGUUAGUCUGAAGAACAGAGGUCACCGGUUCGAUCCCGGUUUACCCCA
rnacentral:tRNA from 1 species